UACGUAGGGCGCAAGCGUUGUCCGGAAUUAUUGGGCGUAAAGAGCUCGUAGGCGGUUUGUCGCGUCUGCUGUGAAAACUGGGGGCUCAACCCCCAGCCUGCAGUGGGUACGGGCAGACUAGAGUGCGGUAGGGGAGAUUGGAAUUCCUGGUGUAGCGGUGGAAUGCGCAGAUAUCAGGAGGAACACCGAUGGCGAAGGCAGGUCUCUGGGCUGUAACUGACGCUGAGGAGCGAAAGCAUGGGGAGCGAACAGG
rnacentral:rRNA from 1 species